GACGAACGCUGGCGGCGUGCCUAACACAUGCAAGUGGAGCGACGAACCAGGCUUCGGCCUGGGGCAAAGCCGCGAACGGGUGAGUAACACGUGGGUAACCUGCCUCGAUGAUUGGGACAACCCGAGGAAACUCGGGCUAAUACCGAAUGUGCCCUGCGACCUCAAGGUUGCUGGGGAAAGGAAGCUUCGGCCUCCGCAUCGGGAUGGGCCCGCGGCCCAUUAGCUUGUUGGUGAGGUAAUGGCUCACCAAGGCAACGAUGGGUAGCUGGUCUGAGAG
rnacentral:rRNA from 1 species